rnacentral:rRNA from 1 species
AGUGAACGCUGGCGGCGUGCUUAACACAUGCAAGUCGAACGAGAACGGAAUAUAGCUUGCUAUAUUUGUCAGCUAAGUGGCGCACGGGUGAGUAAUGUAUAGAUAACCUGCCCUUAAGAAAGGAAUAACAGUUGGAAACGACUGCUAAUGCCCUAUAUGCCUUUAAUACAUAAGUAUGCAAGGGAAACGCUUUAGUGCUUAAGGAUGGGUCUGUAUGGUAUCAGCUUGUUGGUGAGGUAAUGGCUCACCAAGGCUAUGACGCCUAACUGGUUUGAGAGGAUGAUCAGUCAAACUGGAACUGAGACACGGUCCAGACUCCUACGGGAGGCAGCAGUGGGGAAUAUUGCACAAUGGACGAAAGUCUGAUGCAGCAACGCCGCGUGGAGGAUGACACAUUUCGGUGCGCAAACUCAUUUAUAUAGGAAGAUAAUGACGGUACUAUAUGAAUAAGCACCGGCUAACUCCGUGCCAGCCGCCGCCGUAA